AAGAAAACCAAAUGAUCAUGCCAGAGGAAUCAUCUGUCAUCCCAAAAUCUAGGAACCAACCUAGUGAAAGUUUAUACUUAAUGAUUCCCGAUAAUUCCAACAAGAAUCACAUCUUAAAACAACACACACCUUUCACCACAUUACAAUCCAUAUCAUGCA